UUUUUAGUGCUGUCUUUAUCUCAUUUUGGUAUCAAGGUAAUGCUGGCCUUGUAGAAUGCAUUUGGAAGUUUCCCUUCCUUUUCUGUUUUUGGAAUAGUUUCGAGAAGAAUAGGUAUCAACUCCUCUUUAGAUGUUGGAGGUCGCUUAGUCC